rnacentral:rRNA from 1 species
ACGGGGGGAGUAAGCGUUGUUCGGAUUUACUGGGCGUAAAGGGCGCGUAGGCGGCCAGCACAAGUCAGUUGUGAAAUCUCCGGGCUUAACUCGGAAAGGUCAGCCGAUACUGCGGGGCUAGAGUGCAGAAGGGGCAACUGGAAUUCUCGGUGUAGCGGUGAAAUGCGUAGAUAUCGAGAGGAACACCUGCGGCGAAGGCGGGUUGCUGGGCUGACACUGACGCUGAUUGUGCGAAAGCUAGGGGAGCGAACGGGA